UGGUGACCAUAGGAGCGUGGGUACACCCGGAAACAUACCGAACCCGGAAGUCAAGCGCGUGUCCGCUGAUGGUACUUGGAGGGCGGCCUCCUUGGAGAGUAAGAAAUUGCC
rnacentral:rRNA from 1 species